rnacentral:rRNA from 1 species
UGGGGAAUUUUGCACAAUGGGGGAAACCCUGAUGCAGCGACGCCGCGUGAUUUAGAAGGCCUUCGGGUUGUAAAAAUCUUUUCUAUGGGAAGAAAAUGACAGUACCAUAGGAAUAAGGACCGGCUAAUUACGUGCCAGCAGCCGCGGUAAUACGUAAGGUCCGAGCGUUGUCCGGAAUCAUUGGGCGUAAAGGGUACGUAGGCGGGUAAGCAAGUUAGAAGUGAAAUCCUAUAGCUCAACUAUAGUAAGCUUUUAAAACGGCUCAUCUUGAGGUAUGGAAGGGAAAGUGGAAUUCCUAGUGUAGAGGUGAAAUGCGCAGAUAUUAGGAGGAUUACCGGUGGCGAAGGCGACUUUCUGGACAUAACCUGACGCUGAGGUACGAAAGCGUGGGUAGCAAACAGG